GAUGAACGCUGGCGGCGUGCCUAAUACAUGCAGGUCGAGCGAACAGACGAGGAGCUUGCUCCUCUAACGUUAGCGGCGGACGGGUGAGUAACACGUGGAUAACCUACCUAUAAGACUGGGAUAACUUCGGGAAACCGGAGCUAAUACCGGAUAAUAUAUUGAACCGCAUGGUUCAAUAGUGAAAGACGGUUUUGCUGUCACUUAUAGAUGGAUCCGCGCCGCAUUAGCUAGUUGGUAAGGUAACGGCUUACCAAGGCAACGAUGCGUAGCCGACCUGAGAGGGUGAUCGGCCACACUGGAACUGAGACACGGUCCAGACUCCUACGGGAGGCAGCAGUAGGGAAUCUUCCGCAAUGGGCGAAAGCCUGACGGAGCAACGCCGCGUGAGUGAUGAAGGUCUUCGGAUCGUAAAACUCUGUUAUUAGGGAAGAACAAAUGUGUAAGUAACUAUGCACGUCUUGACGGUACCUAAUCAGAAAGCCACGGCUAACUACGUG
rnacentral:rRNA from 1 species